UACGGAGGGUGCAAGCGUUAUCCGGAUUCACUGGGUUUAAAGGGUGCGUAGGUGGGUUUGUAAGUCAGUGGUGAAAUCUCCAAGCUUAACUUGGAACUGCCGUUGAUACUAUAAAUCUUGAAUGUUGUGGAGGUGAGCGGAAUAUGUCAUGUAGCGGAUGAAAUGCUUAGAUAUGACAUAGAACACCGAUAGCGAAGGCAGCUUGCUAC
rnacentral:rRNA from 1 species